UAGUUUCAAAUCCCAUCCUCCACUCUCCUGCGUAUUCGUAUAAAUACAUAUACAGGACUGCUCAAACCUUUUCGAUUUGGUCCCAGAUUCAUUUACCAGAAGCUAUAUUCGUUUGAAAAAUAGAGGAUGGUGGGGAGUGGUACUAGGGUUUCGAUUACGGCGGAUACCAAGAAGACGAAGAGAUCACUGCUGGGAACUAUAGUGAGGAUGAGAUUCACGCAAUCCUCCUUGUAUGCAAUAUGAAUCCCAUGACGCUGCUCAACGCCUUCGUCUUCAGGACGAAAUCAAUGUUAUAAAGAGAUCAUCUAUCAGUAAGUUCUUAGAGCUUUCUGAUCAGACACCAUACUCUGGUCAGUUAAGACGAUAGCCAUGUUUAUUUAGGACAUCUUUAAUCCAGAGUUGAUCUACUGACAGUACUCAUGCUAGUAAUGUUUGCAAGAUGGCCAUAAAUGUUGUUGUCUGUUUUUUUUGUGUGUGUCGUACCUGUUAAAUAACCGGCUAUUUAUCCCUUAUUGCAUUGGAUCUUUAUAUACUUAGCUGUAUCUUUAUAUACCUAGACAUAUUCUUUGUAUACUUAGCCAUAUCUUUGUAUACUUAUCUGUAGCUUUAUAUACUUAUCCGUAUCUUUGUAUACUUAUCCGUAGCCUUAUAUACUUAGCCGUAUAUUUGUAUACUUAUCCGAUCCGCCAUGAUCUUUGAGCAACAAGAUAACCUUUAAGUGAUGCUAUUGCUUUGUUUGAUGACUAGAUCAGGUCACUAGUUGAUGCUAUUGUUUUGUUUGAUGAGCACAUAAUGGCUUCUGGAUAUCAAUCUUUGGAACCAUCAAUGAACUGCCUAGUCAACAACCUCCACAAAAGCACCUUGGCAAAUUACGUGUAUACUGGAAUCAGAGGAGCAGCGUAUGUGGACUUCUUGGACAGUGCAUAGGAGUUGUGUCGGACGCGAUGUUCUUUGUGAUUCUUUACGAGCAAAUGCUAUCAACAUAUCUAUAACUAACUGCUAGACUGUUAACAUAUUUAAUACCCUUCAAUGUUAGACUGCUAACAAUUUUAAUAGCAUAUAACCAUUUAUCUGUUUAUGUAUCUUCGAAUAAUAUUGUGGUAUUGUUAGCAUGUUUUAUGACAUUGUUAGCAUGUCAGCAUAUCUAUUAACAUAUAACAGUGUUCUUUAAA